rnacentral:rRNA from 1 species
UACGGAGGGAGCUAGCGUUGUUCGGAAUUACUGGGCGUAAAGCGCACGUAGGCGGCGAUUCAAGUCAGAGGUGAAAGCCCGGGGCUCAACUCCGGAACUGCCUUUGAAACUAGAUUGCUAGAAUCUUGGAGAGGCGAGUGGAAUUCCGAGUGUAGAGGUGAAAUUCGUAGAUAUUCGGAAGAACACCAGUGGCGAAGGCGGCCCGCUGGGCAGUGGCUGACGCUGAGGCGCGACAGCGUGGGGAGCAAACAGG